AAGAAAGGGGGACUUAAAGUUGAUGAACAGCACCAAAGACAGCAGUGUGAGAGAAAACUGAAGCUGCAGAGAAGAAAACCAGACUGAUCGGGAACAAGAACAUGUUUUGGUGUGCAGGAGAAUGAAGAGAAAAGAGGACAACAAUGGACCCAGAUAGACGAGAGUCUACAGGUUUAUGAAGAGG